rnacentral:tRNA from 1 species
GUCUCGUUCGUCUAAUGGUUAGGACCUCGCUCUUUCACGGCGGAAAUAAGGGUUCAAAUUCCUUACGAGAUAGCA